rnacentral:rRNA from 1 species
ACUCCUACGGGAGGCAGCAGUGGGGAAUAUUGCACAAUGGGCGCAAGCCUGAUGCAGCCAUGCCGCGUGUAUGAAGAAGGCCUUCGGGUUGUAAAGUACUUUCAGCAGUGAGGAAGGUGGGGUAUGUUAAUAGCAUAUUCUAUUUGACGUUAGCUGCAGAAGAAGCACCGGCUAACUCCGUGCCAGCAGCCGCGGUAAGUACGGAGGGUGCGAGCGUUAAUCGGAAUUACUGGGCGUAAAGCGCAUGCAGGUGGUUGUUAAGUCAGAUGUGAAAGCCCGGGGCUCAACCGUCGGAAUUGCAUUUGAAACUGGCAAACUAGAGUACUGUAGAGGGGGUAGAAUUUCAGGUGUAGCGGUGAAAUGCGUAGAGAUCUGAAGGAUACCGGUGGCGAAGGCGGCCCCUGGACAGAUACUGACACUCAGAUGCGAAAGCGUGGGAGCAAACAGGAUUAGAUACCCC